CCAAAAAUCAAUUUGCUGCAUCCAGUGCAGAAGGCAAUCAGUGAGCUAUGAUCAAAGCUUUCUUGAGGAACAUUCCGCUUAAAAAGACAACUUAGCCACUUUCAGUGUAGAGAGCAAGCAGGAGCUCCGUUGGAAUAAAGACGAUGAUGUUAGGACUUUCUUGAGGAACAAUACACGUAAAAUUUGCACAUCUGAUGACAUUCCAACGUUUCGUCAAACUCCUCCAUCUCC